UAUGAACAUGGAUCAUAAAGUACAUGCUUUUUAAAAUAAAGAAGUUAAGUUUAAAAAAAACUAAUACGAUCACAAGUUCACACCAGAAUUUCAUUUAUGUACGAUCACAUAACUUGAAAGUUAAUCGUUUGUUUUCUUGGCCCUACCCUUAGAACAUUGAAAGGCGAGAAUUAGUAAACAACAACUUUGUUUGAGUCCAACAUGUGCACAGGGGCAAGAGGGGUGUUUUAUUUACAAACAUAUGUGUCGAUUCUCUGUUGUCAAGUCGACACAAAUUUCCAACGGAGGAAAUUUUUAGCUAUAUUUUAACAAACAUUAUAACGUUAAUUUAACUUAUUUCUGUUAUAUUUUAUAGGAAAAUUUAAAAUAAAAAGUAUAAAUACUACAAUUAACCUAUUUUAAGAAUAAAUAUAAUAUCCUUAAGCAAAAAAAAAACAAAAUUAUUAACAUUCUUAUCCCUAAAACUCCUUCUAAAAAAUUUGAAGCGACAACACCGGAGCUUAAGCGCCUAAACCAUACGCGUUGUGUCAUCUGUCAAACGGCUUUUUGUUUAUAUUCGGGAUUCGUGUAUUUUCUUUAAUUUUUGGUUUAAAAAGGAAAAAAGGCCACGUUUUAGUGUUUUUUUAAAUUGCUAGGAUGGCAAAAACUUGUGUCGUUUGUGCCGCAUCAUGAUAAAAACGUGAUUCAAGCCGAUCUUUUCACAAGUAAGUACCGAUACUUUCAUAACAUCACAUCAUGGGGUAACCAUCAUCAUAAACGUAGAAUAGGGGAUCUUAUAGAUAUAAACCUAAUAAAAAUUUGAAUGUGAAAGUGUGCGUAAAAUACCAACAUAUUUAUAUUUUUAAAUCUAAAUAUUUUUUUGAACAUAUUCAUCUAUUAAUAGGCUAUAAAAGAUAUAAAACUAGAAUUUUGUCCCUGGUUUUAUUACAGGAUUUUAUGUUUUUUUUGUUGUUUUGGCAGAAAAAAAUUAUAAUACCUAUGUACCUAUCUAUAUAUACAUAGUUUGAUAUCUAUGUAUAAAGUUAAUUUUGUCUUUCUUUAAAAUUUGUUCCAUAAUUUUUUUUUGUUUUACCUUAUUGCAACUUACAAUAAUAUAUAUAGUAAUUGGCACCACAUAUUAAUUUAUUACUGUAAUUUUUUUCUGCUUUUUGAUUAAAUAUCAAAUACUUAUUAUAGAUUGCCCAAUGAUUAUGCCCAAAGGGAACAAUGGGUUUCAUUAAUGGAAAUCAACACAUUUAAAAAGAACAUAUUUGUUUGUUCAGAUCACAUCCUUAGAAGUGAUAUAAGGGAGAUAAUAUUAUCAGUAGCCAGACUUUAUUAAAAAAAUCAGCUCUACCUCAAAGGAUUUCUGAUGCACUGGUUAAAAACACAGCAGCCAAUAAUUCAGUUAAUUUACCAAGUGAUUUACCCUUCAAAGCUACAGGGGUAGCUUUCCUGAAGAGUGCAAAAACUUCUUUAGCUUUCAAAAUGGUAUAUAGUACAAACAGUGAAGCUAAUAUAGACACGUAUGGAUAAUUAAAAUAGAUUAAUAUUCUUGAUACACCAAAUUUUGUAUAAUUACAGAUCUGAUCAUUCAUCAUCAACAAUAACUGCAUCUGAGAAUUAUAGUUCUACAGUAACCGUGGAGUUUAGGUCAACAAUUACUAUUUCUCAUCCAAGCCGUUUUUGUUUAACUGCUACACAUUCCCUGACUCUGCCAAGGAAAAGGGUAAAAUCAAAAUGAUAUCCUGAGGACCUAAGCACUGAUGAUUCCACCGUUUCAAGAGCUUAAUCACUUGUCACCAGAUUAUGGAAAAAAAAUAAAGAACAAAAAAUUAAAAUUCGAAGAUUGCAACAAGCAAAUUUGCGCCAAAGAAAUUGAAUUAGAUGUCUCAAGUCAUUAUUAAAAUACUUACAUGAAAUAAUAACAUGAUUUUAUGGAAAAGCCCAACAUACUACAUAUUUUAUUUGACUUGUAAAAGCACUUGUUUGUAUAUUACUACUAAUAAACUCUCUAAUCUAAUCUAUUGUA
rnacentral:lncRNA from 1 species